GACGAACGCUGGCGGCGUGCUUAACACAUGCAAGUCGAGCGGAGCGGCGAACGGGUGAGUAACGCGUGAGUAACUGCCCCCCUCUCUGGGAUAACAGUUGGAAACGGCUGCUCAUACCGGAUAGUGGGGGAUGACUCGGGUCCUAUCGGUUGAUUGGUGGGGUAGGGGCCUACCACGGGGACGACGGGUGGCCGGCCUGAGAGGGCGACCGGCCACAGUGGGCUGCGAUACGGACCAAACUCCUACGGGAGGCAGUAGUGGGGAAUAUGGCCCAAUGGGGGAAACCCUGAUGCAGCAACGCCGCGGGCGUGAUGACGGCCUUCGGGUUGUAAACCGCUUUCAGCCAUGACGCGGUAGUGGCAGAAGAAGCACCGGCUAACUACGUGCCAGCCGCCGCGGUAAUAC
rnacentral:rRNA from 1 species